rnacentral:rRNA from 1 species
UACGUAGGGUGCGAGCGUUAAUCGGAAUUACUGGGCGUAAAGCGUGCGCAGGCGGCUUACUAAGACAGGUGUGAAAGCCCCGAGCUUAACUUGGGAAUGGCGCUUGUGACUGGUAGGCUGGAGUGUGGCAGAGGGGGGUGGAAUUCCAAGUGUAGCAGUGAAAUGCGUAGAUAUUUGGAGGAACACCGAUGGCGAAGGCAGCCCCCUGGGUUAACACUGACGCUCAUGCACGAAAGCGUGGGGAGCAAACAGG